AUACUUACCUGGACGGGGUCAAUAGAUGAUCAUGAAGGUUUAUGGCCUAGGGUAGUGACUUUCAUUGCACUUGGAAGGGGUGCUCCUCUAAGGUCUGUCCCAAUGACAGAGCCUACGUCAUAAUUUGUGGCAGUGUGGUUUGCGUUCGCGUAACCCCUUC